rnacentral:rRNA from 1 species
UACGUAGGGGGCAAGCGUUGUCCGGAAUCAUUGGGCGUAAAGAGCGUGUAGGCGGCUCGAUAAGUCUGCUGUGAAAGUCCAGGGCUCAACCCUGGAAGGCCGGUGGAAACUGUCGGGCUAGAGUCCGGAAGAGGAGAGUGGAAUUCCUGGUGUAGCGGUGAAAUGCGCAGAUAUCAGGAAGAACACCUAUGGCGAAGGCAGCUCUCUGGGACGGUACUGACGCUGAGACGCGAAAGCGUGGGGAGCGAACAGG